rnacentral:misc_RNA from 1 species
GUCCACAUCACGGUUACCUAAAGUUGCAAGCAUUGCAAUGAAUCCACUGUAUCUUCCCAUAAGCUUUACUAUACCAACUCCAUUCUGCACGCUUUCUGCCUCUACAUGGGCAGCAUUAAUGGCCCUCUGAGCUUCCUCCACAGCAGUAUCAAAGCCAAAAGAUUUGUCUAUCACCGCGAUAUCAUUAUCAAUUGUCUUGGGAAUCCCAGCAACAGCUACCUUAAUACCACGUUUUUCAACUUCCUUGUAGAUUGCAGCAGCCCCUUUUUGAG